AGCUCCAAUAGCGUAUAUUAAAGUUGUUGCAGUUAAAAAGCUCGUAGUUGGAUUUGGGACUGGAGUCGUUCGGUCGGCCGCAAGGUCUGUUACUGAACGGCUCUGUCAUCACAUUCCCAGAGACCUGCCGUGUACUUAACUGUGUGCGGUACGGGAUUUGGGACGUUUACUUUGAAAAAAUUAGAGUGUUCAAAGCAGGCUAACAUUGCCCGAAUACAUGAGCAUGGAAUAAUGGAAUAGGACUACGGUUCUAUUUUGUUGGUUUCUAGUACUGAAGUAAUGAUUGAUAGGGAUAGUUGGGGGUGCUAGUAUUCAGCGGCCAGAGGUGAAAUUCUUGGAUUCGCUGAAGACUAACUGAUGCGAAAGCAUUCACCAAGGAUAUCUUCUUUAAUCAAGAACG
rnacentral:rRNA from 1 species